AACGCACAUUGCGCCCAUUGGUAUUCCGAUGGGCAUGCCUGUUCGAGCGUCAUUAUCCUCCCUCAAACCAUGUGUUUGGUGUUGGACCGCGUUGGUUGGGCGACCAACUGGUCUCAAAGACAAUGACGGCGUCCGUGGGACCCUCGGUGCAACGAGCUUUUAACGAGCACGCGUCGAGUUUCAAGGACCCUCCGGGCCGGUCUAGACCUCUAUUUUUCUCAGGUUGACCUCGGAUCAGGUAGGAAUACCCGCUGAACUUAA
rnacentral:misc_RNA from 1 species